CCUACGGGAGGCAGCAGUGGGGCAUUCCUAGCGGGAAGCAGCAGUCGGGAAUUUUGGGCAAUGGGCGAAAGCCUGACCCAGCAACGCCGCGUGAAGGAUGAAGUCUUUCGGGAUGUAAACUUCGUAAGAAUGGGAAGAAUCAAUGACGGUCCCAUUUGUAAGGUCCGGCUAACUACGUGCCAGCAGCCGCGGUAAUACGUAGGGACCAAGCGUUGUUCGGAUUUACUGGGCGUAAAGGGCGCGUAGGCGGCAGAUCAAGUCAGCUGUGAAAUCUCCGAGCUUAACUCGGAACGGUCAGCUGAUACUG
rnacentral:rRNA from 1 species